AACUGGUUUGACCAAAAGAGGGUCAAAGCCCUCCAGCACUUGAAAACUCCUGGAGAACAAAGGUUUGCAUGAUUUAAAAAAAGGACACUCAUGGGGAUGUGGAAGAACCAGAUUGAAAGACAGACAAAGGAACCUUGAGUUGGCAGUGAGGGGACAUUUAGAAGAAGUGAAGCCUGCUUAGAUCUUGGUCGGCAGCACAGUGGAGCUAAGGCAGGCUCCCUGCCUGGCCCCAUGCCACUCCUGGAAGCAGCUGGCACGUCCCUGCAGCCCCUGGGGGUAACAGGGGUCUCCGUGCUUCCUGCAUCCCGAGCGCCGACUCCACAGCCCCCAUUGGCCAGGAACUGAGACCAGAAGACCACAGCAAGAUGACAUGCCUACAGCUCCUUUUGCUCUUCAGGUGUCCCUCAAGAAGAAGUUAAUUGCAUUACAAUGCAUAUUCCCUGCACUGUUCCCAGGAGUCAAGCAACAGAGCACUAACAAGC